rnacentral:rRNA from 1 species
GGGUGGUAAUGCCGGAUGUUCCACAUGAUCGCAUGUGAUUGUGGGAAAGAUUUCAUCGGCGUGGGAUGGGGUCGCGUCCUAUCAGCUUGUUGGUGAGGUAACGGCUCACCAAGGCUUCGACGGGUAGCCGGCCUGAGAGGGCGACCGGCCACAUUGGGACUGAGAUACGGCCCAGACUCCUACGGGAGGCAGCAGUGGGGAAUAUUGCACAAUGGGCGCAAGCCUGAUGCAGCGACGCCGCGUGAGGGAUGGAGGCCUUCGGGUUGUAAACCUCUUUUGUUUGGGAGCAAGCCUUCGGGUGAGUGUACCUUUCGAAUAAGCGCCGGCUAACUACGUGCCAGCAGCCGCGGUAAUACGUAGGGCGCAAGCGUUAUCCGGAUUUAUUGGGCGUAAAGGGCUCGUAGGCGGCUCGUCGCGUCCGGUGUGAAAGUCCAUCGCUUAACGGUGGAUCUGCGCCGGGUACGGGCGGGCUGGAGUGCGGUAGGGGAGACUGGAAUUCCCGGUGUAACGGUGGAAUGUGUAGAUAUCGGAA